rnacentral:rRNA from 1 species
UACAGAGGGUGCGAGCGUUAAUCGGAAUUACUGGGCGUAAAGCGUGCGCAGGCGGUUUGUUAAGUCCGCUGUGAAAUCCCCGAGCUCAACUUGGGAAUUGCAGUGGAUACUGGCAAGCUGGAGUAUGGUAGAGGAAGGUGGAAUUCCCGGUGUAGCAGUGAAAUGCGUAGAGAUCGGGAGGAACACCAGUGGCGAAGGCGGCCUUCUGGACCAAUACUGACGCUCAUGCACGAAAGCGUGGGGAGCAAACAGG